GACGAACGCUGGCGGCGUGCUUAACACAUGCAAGUCGAACGGUAAGGCCCUUCGGGGUACACGAGUGGCGAACGGGUGAGUAACACGUGGGUGAUCUGCCCUGCACUUCGGGAUAAGCCUGGGAAACUGGGUCUAAUACCGGAUAGGACCACUGCCUGCAUGGGUGGUGGUAGAAAGCUUUUGCGGUGUGGGAUGGGCCCGCGGCCUAUCAGCUUGUUGGUGGGGUGAUGGCCUACCAAGGCGACGACGGGUAGCCGGCCUGAGAGGGUGACCGGCCACACUGGGACUGAGAUACGGCCCAGACUCCUACGGGAGGCAGCAGUGGGGAAUAUUGCACAAUGGGCGCAAGCCUGAUGUAGCGACGCCGCGUGAGGGAUGACGGCCUUCGGGUUGUAAACCUCUUUCAGCACCGACGAAGCGCAAGUGACGGUAGGUGCAGAAGAAGGACCGGCCAACUACGUGCCAGCAGCCGCAGUAA
rnacentral:rRNA from 1 species